UAAGGAAUAUUGGUCAAUGGAGGGAACUCUGAACCAGCCAUGCCGCGUGAAUGAAGAAGGCGCUAUGCGUUGUAAAGUUCUUUUCUCAGAGAAGAAAAGUUUGGAUUUAUCCGAAUCUGACGGUAUCUGAGGAAUAAGCACCGGCUAACUCCGUGCCAGCAGCCGCGGUAAUACGGAGGGUGCAAGCGUUAUCCGGAAUUACUGGGUUUAAAGGGUGCGCAGGCGGAUAGAUAAGUUAGUGGUGAAAACU
rnacentral:rRNA from 1 species